GUUACAUCAUGUUACAGGGCGAUAUAUGUCACAUGUCAUAGAAUCCAAUAGAUGUUGACCUUGUUGGACCUUUACCUUGGAGACCAAACAUUCAACACAGUCAAAACUAUUCCAUUUAUUAAUCUUUUUAUUUAAACCAAUAAUUUGGAUCAUUCUUUUUUUUUUAAAAAAAAAUUGAGCCAGUCAGUAACGGUUACCUUU